rnacentral:misc_RNA from 1 species
AGACCAAAACAUUGAUGAAAGCCAUCCCAAAUCAUCAGAAAUAAUACAGUCUUUAAAGAGCAAUACAAGUGGUACGAAACAGAGAUGUGGUUGCGAAGAAGAGAUAAUCUUCCACGAAUGGAAAUGUAUGUUGGCCUACUUUGUAGCGAUAUUCAGGGAGAAGCAGGGUUUGAAAAGAAUCUAUAAUGACAGUUGAAUUGAAAUUGAUCUGACGUUAAACGGAACCCUUGGUGAAACUUGUCACGUUAGAUUAAGCUUUAAAAUUAUGGAUAUUGUUAACUAACGAGAACAUUAGCUUCAGCGAUACCCGCGCUGGAAACGAUGAUUUGCGAAUAAACAUUCUAACAUAUCCAUCCGUAAAAAAUACAAGCAGUAUUAUACAGUUCUAUUGUAAAGUGAUCCACCGUAUCUGUGACCACUGUCUGAGGCCAGGUGUUUGUAAGUAAUCCAUUCCCAGACAAAAGUGCAAAAUUCAACCAUUCAACCACUCGAAAGACACAAAUUGAAAUUGAUCCUCGAUUAGUCACGAUAUUUAUUAUUUUGGUUAACAUGAAUUUGUUACCAAUGAUACAAACGCUAUUUUAAGAAACGCUGUAGUUUAGCACUUUUUUCAUCAAAUACGCGUGUUCCACUGCAAGCCUAAAUAUAAAUUGCGUUAUCUGAUAAGAAUCCUCGCGAUAUCAUAUACAAACUAGAUAAAAAUC